rnacentral:rRNA from 1 species
UACGUAGGGUCCAAGCGUUAAUCGGAAUUACUGGGCGUAAAGCGUGCGCAGGCGGUUCUGAAAGUCAGCUGUGAAAGCCCCGGGCUUAACCUGGGAAUUGCGGUUGAAACUACAGGGCUAGAAUCUGGCAGAGGGGGGUGGAAUUCCACGUGUAGCAGUGAAAUGCGUAGAGAUGUGGAGGAACACCGAUGGCGAAGGCAGCCCCCUGGGCUGAGAUUGACGCUCAGGCACGGAAGCGUGGGGAGCAAACAGG